rnacentral:rRNA from 1 species
UUCCGGUUGAUCCUGCCGGACCCGACUGCUAUUUGGGUGAGGAUAAGCCAUGCGAGUCGAAUGGGAUGCCCAAAAUUCCCAUGGCAAACUGCUCAGUAACACAUGAUCAACUUACCCUAUAGAGAAAAAUAACCUCGGGAAACUGAGGAUAAUGUUUCAUAAUUGAAUCGGCUUGGAAAAGUUUUUCAAUUAAAAGAAUAAGAAAAAUGGUUCUUGUUCGCUAUAGGAUAGGAUCGUGGACGAUUAUGGUUGUUGGUGAGGUAACGGCUCACCAAGCCGAUAAUCGAUAGGGGCCGUGAGAGCGGGAGCCCCGAGAUGGGUACUGAGACAACGACCCAGGCCUUACGAGGCGCAGCAGGCGCGGAACCUCCGCAAUACACGAAAGUGUGACGGGGUUACCCAAAGUGUUCAUUAUUGAACUGUGGUAGGUGAGUAAUGUCCCCUACUAGAAAGGAGAGGGCAAGGCUGGUGCCAGCCGCCGCGGUAAAACCAGCUCUUCAAGUGGUCGGGAUAAUUAUUGGGCUUAAAGUGUCCGUAGCUGGUUUAGUAAGUUCCUGGUAAAAUCGGGUAGCUUAACUAUCCGUAUGCUAGGAAUACUGCUAUACUAGAGGGCGGGAGAGGUCUGAGGUACUACAGGGGUAGGGGUGAAAUCUUAUAAUCCUUGUAGGACCACCAGUGGCGAAGGCGUCAGACUGGAACGCGCCUGACGGUGAGGGACGAAAGCCAGGGGAGCGAACCGGAUUAGAUACCCGGGUAGUCCUGGCCGUAAACGAUGCAUACUAGGUGAUGGUACGGCCAUGAGCCGUAUCAGUGCCGUAGGGAAACCGUUAAGUGUGCCGCCUGGGAAGUACGGUCGCAAGGCUAAAACUUAAAGGAAUUGGCGGGGGAGCACCACAAGGGGUGAAGCCUGCGGUUCAAUUGGACUCAACGCCGGU